rnacentral:lncRNA from 1 species
CUUGACCUGUGACCUCCAAUGUUUUCAGUUUUCACCCGAACAACAGUGACGAGCAAGGGUGAAACCAGAUCCUCUGGAGUGCAUUUCGUUAGACUGAUUGAAUUACCAGUUGAUUGCUGCAUCUGUGAAGUGUGCUUAGAAAUGAUCUUGACUCCUUCCACAAAAAUAGCCCUAGGGUGGAUAGGGAUCAUCGCCACAGGCCUGUCUGGAUUUGUCUUAGCCAGGGACUCUGUGAUCAGCAACAGAAAAGUUCUCAUGGAGACCAGGCAGAGAAUCAAAGACCAGGCCCAAAGAGAGUCGGUCGAGAAGUACGAACAGCGCAACCUACUGAAACAAGCCCAGCCUUCAUCAUAGUGAUGGUGAACUGUAUUUUGCAAGUGCAUUUUAAUUGAUAACGGCAUAAAGUGGAUAUUAUGCAGUGAAAAAUAUGUUGCACUAGUGAAGGAAAGACAGAAUCUUGAAUGUAUCUCUUUAGAAUGACAAUGACAGUUCAUCGCUUUUUGAUGUGUUAACUUUGCGUUCAGGAUGUGGCCGAGGUAAAACUUGUCUCUGCCACAAAUGACCUUCUAUCUGAAUGCACUGUGACUGUAACGUGGAGUAUGAAGUGCUGUCUGUAAACAUUAAGCAAGUUAGUUUGUGUAUUUAUGUGUUUGGAUGACACUCAAUACUGAGUGUGUGGGCAAAUUAAAUGAAUGCCUGAUGGUGGGCCUAUUUCUUCAUAGGUAAAAUACAUCAAUUUUCAAUCAUUUCAGUGUGUGUGUUUGACAUUGUAUAUAUUAUAGCUCAUCUAUUUUCUGUCAAGCAAAACUUUCUAUUUUCUUAUUUUAAAAAAGUAACACAGACAGACAGAAAACAACAGAAAGAAAGAAAAAAAACCAGGACCUACCAGUGGUGUUCCCCACCAACCACCUUCAAACUUUCAGAGACUCAGGAUCUACUGUUCUCUGACAUGUCAAGUACAUAGUAGUGUAUUCAGAGAUAAUAUAAGAAUGUGUUGUUGUUUUUUUUUUACCUACCUGCAAGAAGAUACAUAUAAAUGUUACUGUCCCCACGCAGGGUGAAUUCCCAUGUCUAGGGCUUUCCUGGCUAAAUGAAGAGCAGUCGAAUUGUCCAAGACAGCUACCCAUUGUCGAGGAAAAAGUGAUUUCCUAAAUUUUACUGUCCCCACACGGGGUGAAUUCCCAUGUCUAGGGCUUUCCUGGCUAAAUGAAGAGCAGUCGAAUUGUCCAAGACAGCUACCCAUUGUCGAGGAAAAAGUGAUUUCCUAAAUUUUACUGUCCCCACACGGGGUGAAUUCCCAUGUCUAGGGCUUUCCUGGCUAAAUGAAGAGCAGUUGAAUUGUCCAAGACAGCUACCCAUUGUCGAGGAAAAAGUGAUUUCCUUUUUAAGACAGGUGGACAGACAUCGGAGCCAUUGAAAUAGAAAAAAGGGGGAAAGUGGGAAGUUGUCAUUUGUACAGAUGAUUGUCUUGGUGGACAGGUGACCAUUUAUUUAGAGCAGGAUUUAAAAAAAAAAAGUUUUAGUAGAGGUUUUAUGGCGCUCGCAACUGAAUAAGGUCAUAUGAGCGCCAAAGAGCAGGUUUGACUGUAUGUUAAUUUGUACCCCGGUACGAAGCAAAGUCUUUUGUGGAAAUACAGCCUGUAGCAAUGUCUUUUCUUUUAUACAAGUUAAGUGUAAAGAGUACUCACAAGAGGGGUAUUAUGAUUAUUAUUAAUAAAGUGUACCAUACCUUAUUUUGUCACAGUUCCCUCUUUGAAACUGAUAUGAAUAGGUAGUGAAAGAAGGAGAGGUUAAAAUUUUGUUGUUGGGGAUGAGAGUGAGGGGGAAACGAAGAAAAAUGCACACCUUAAUAAUAUGUAAAUUUAUACUAUACUAUUAAGUCUUAAUUUUAUAUUAAUAUUAAUAUUAUAUCGCAACUAUUACAUCCUGUACUAAUGUUACAUUUGAGGGUUCCUGUUCUUUUCACAGAAAUUUCACAGGGCACAGCCUGAAUUAUUACCUCUUGAGAAGGUUUCCUUCAAUUUCAAAAUAAUUCCCAUACACCUUGAGUUUCCAAGUGAAAGAUUUAUUGCUAUGAAAAUUGUGUCUUACUAAACUUACUUAGACCUGGAGAUGUCCUACUAGUAGUUUCUGUUUCCUCAAGUUCCUUUUAUAAAUUGUAUGUUGUUCUGAUUUCAUUAUGAUGAGAUUGUCUUUGUAAUACGUUUUUAUCUGAAAUAAACAUUUUCUUUGUGCAGA